ensembl:misc_RNA Metazoa_SRP Metazoan signal recognition particle RNA
GCUGGGCGUGGUGGUGCACGCCUGUAAUCCCAGCUACUUGGGAAGCUGAGGUGGGAGAAUUGCUUGAAUCCGGGAGGCGGAGGUUGCAGUGAGCCAAGAUUGCGCCACUGCACUCCAACCUGGGUGACAGAGUGAGACUCUGUCUCAA